rnacentral:misc_RNA from 1 species
UAUCCGUAGGUGAACCUGCGGAAGGAUCAUUACCGAGUGAGGGUCUAACAGGCUCGACCUACCACAAUGUGUUUUUGUGACCUUGUUGCUUUGGCGGGAUCGCCUCGAUGAGAGGCCGCCGGAAGCUCCCCGCUGUGGGCCCGUGCCCGCGAGUAGCCCCCUUAAAUAAUUAAUAAACCUGUCGGCUGAGUCGAGAUAUAAGAAAAAAAAGUUACAACAAAGGAUCUCUUGGUUCUGGCAUGGAUGAAGAAGGCAGAAGAUUGGAAGAGCACAGGACGG